GGUGGAGGAAGUACAGAUUUAGAGUUUGAAUUGUGUGAAGCUCCAAAUUCCCACACUGUGUGACAGUGUUACAUUACACAUGAAUGCAUACAUUUAAGUCACAAGUUCGAAUUUUAGUCCCGUUCUUGCAGCCCAAA